CAAUAGCGUAUAUUAAAGUUGUUGCAGUUAAAAAGCUCGUAGUUGGAUUUGUGGCGUACGGUGUGUUCCGGGCACUUGUUGCCUGAGUAACCUGCUGUUGCCAUCCUUGGGUGGAACCUGUGUGGCAUUAGGUUGUCGUGCAGGAGAUGCCCAUCAUUUACUGUGAAAAAAUUAGAGUGUUCAAAGCAGGCUUAUGCCGUUGAAUAUAUUAGCAUGGAAUAAUGAGAUAGGACUUUUUUGCUAUUUUGUUGGUUUGCGCAAAGAGGUAAUGAUUAAUAGGGACAGUUGGGGGUAUUCGUAUUCCAUUGUCAGAGGUGAAAUUCUUGGAUUUUUGGAAGACGAACUACUGCGAAAGCAUUUACCAAGGAUGUUUUCAUUAA
rnacentral:rRNA from 1 species